AAAGUACAUCAAAUAACUGUGUAACACUCACCAUACACCAUACAAUGAUCCAUGUGCUGGAUAUUCAGUUAUGAGCAAGACAGAAUACCUUUCCACAAAGAAAUUUCCUUCCAGGGCAAGCAUGUGGGAUCUUAGUUUCUGACCGGGGAUUGAACCCAUGCCCCCUGCAGUGGAAACAGAGUCUUAACCACUGGACCACAAGGAAAGUCCCUAUAUUGUUUAAUUGAAUACUGACAACAAACUUAUGUCUUAAGGUAUAAAAACAGGAAAGCUAUACUCUUGUUCCGUAGAAGCUCUCCAAGUCAGAAGGAUUCAGUUGGCUCUGUCAGCAAGUAUUGCAUUUCCAGAGCAGACCUGUAGAGGAACUGAGGAACAGAAGGAGUCCUAACCAACCUUGGUCAGACCCCUCAGACUUGUAACAUCGCUUAGCAAAAUCAAACCUAUUGGAUAUGGCUGAAAAAGGCCCAUCUUCCUUCUCGUUUUCUACUGCAUCUUCCUUGACCCUCAAACAAUCCCCAUGGUUGUCCAUGUGGUCAGGCAGCUGGCAUUUAACCACCUCAGGUAAGAGUAUCGUCUCACUUUCAGGGAAGGGUGCAGUCUUGAGGAAUCUUGACUUAAGAAAUGGAGUCCAGUGCAGAUCCCAAGAACUUCAGCUACUCUGUCUUCCAGGUUCUCUGGUGCUUGGGCUCUGUACCUCAUCACAAACUCCUCUAUUCUUUGUUUUCUAAAUAUGAGGAGGAAUCAGUGAGGCCUGAGGGAAGAUUCUAUGCUACAUCCCAGACCAGGGUAUCUGCUUCCUGGUGGUAGCAUCAGGAUCUGUCUUCAGACCUCAUAGGCUUUGCUGGCAUCUGACAAAAAUAUUUGUAGCUAUGUUAUAAUAUAUGCCUCUGAAGGAUCAUUUAAGAUCAGAUGAUAGUUUUGUGACAUGCUUUAGUACCUCUUUAAUAUUAAAAUUCUGUGGACCUUGUAGAAGUCAAUGGAAACUAGUGAAAUGUCAAAAUAUGUGACAUAAUAGAGGAAAGUGAGUUUUAGAAAUAUGCUUCACUGACAGAC